UGGCCGUGUCGUCGCCGCCGCCGAUUUGGGGCUUGCGGGGAUUCAGCAAGGGCCGCGCCGCGAAAUACAGGACGAUGAACCCCAGGUCUUCUCCGAUGGUUGCUAGGAUCAGUGAGCACAAAGAGACUAAUAAUAAGCUCGCGCGAACCCGAUCAUACAGUUAAUUCGGGAGUCGUCGCACUCGCACAGCAGCUGUGGUUGCGGGGAAGUUAUUCCUGGUGGGUGCCUCUGCCGUGGUGAUUGAAGGCCGACCGCGCGCAUGGAACCUCAAACGGUACUGGAAGCAAUUGCAUACAAAAAGAAGACCUAGAGCUUUUUGCUAGUGAUCUAGUCCUUCAUGCAAGCAAAGCAUGUGAUAAUGGAGGAGUCAUCAUGAGUAUUCGGGAAGGAAGCUAGCAUGCAUGGGAUCUUAUGGACAUAUAGUUUAGGAAAUUAGAACUAGAUCACGUGCAUCUGGCCUCCUGGCCUCCUGGGGCUCGGCAGAUCCAGUCCACGGAGUGGUCAAGGUCUCCACGCUCUGCAUGUUGCGGCACAGGUGCCUGAAGGUCCCCAAGAUCCACCAUCUCCGUCUCCUAUGAGCUUGUGGCCACCACGACAUCCUCCACGAGUUCGCACGCAGGAGGACGAGGGGAAACUGAGCACUAUGAGGGAGGACGUCGAUCUACUUAGCUCCAUACGAGGCAUCCAUCACUGAGUCCAAGAUAAAUUUCUAACUAGGAACACAUGGAUGAUUCUUAUGUAGAAACGCAUAUAGUGAUUUUUUUUAUACUAAUCAUCGAUAGUACUGUGACAGCUCCCUAUGCGAUUUCUUUUUCAUUGUGCAGAUAGUCCCUAGAAAAGGAACCUGUGGUGGAGAAAUAAACAUCAAGUGAUCUUUGUCAAGGCUCAACAACAACAAACAAAAGAAAUGAUAAAGUAAUUCCAGGAAGAGAAGAAGAGGAGGGUCGAAGAAAGGGCAAGCUGACAUUAAUGCGAGACGAUCAAGGUGCUCGUGGUGGCUAUUUUGAUUAGUCAUGAAAGAUUUUGUUGUGUGAGCAAAUCAUACGAGCUAUGUGUUGUAUAAGCCAACAUCUUAGUUUUGUAGAUACUUGAGGGUAGCUUGAUUAUUGCCUUAGUAUUUCGUGUGAAAUAUUGUACAAGUACAAAUGUUGAAAGUUUCAAUGAAAAUGAUGGGCAAUAUUUAUCAA